rnacentral:tRNA from 1 species
GCGGUCGUGGUGGAACGGCAGACACGCCACUUUGAGGGGGUGGUGGGAGAAAUCCCGUGUGGGUUCAAAUCCCACCGACCGCA